GGGGGGGGGGGGGGGGGGGGGGGGGGCGGGCGGGGCGGGGGGGAGGGCCGGGGCGGGGGUGCUCGGGUGGCGAACGGGGGAGUGACACGUGGGUGAUCUGCCCUGCACUCUGGGAUAAGCCUGGGAAACUGGGUCUAAUACCGGAUAGGACCGCACUUUAGUGUGUGUGGUGGAAAGUGUUUUCGGCGUAGGAUGAGCCCGCGGCCUAUCAGCUUGUUGGUGGGGUAAUGGCCUACCAAGGCGGCGACGGGUAGCCGGACUGAGAGGCUGGUCGGCCACAUUGGGACUGAGAUACGGCCCAGACUCCGACGGGAGGCAGCAGUGGGGAAUAUUGCACAAUGGGCGCAAGCCUGAUGCAGCGACGCCGCGUGGGGGAUGACGGCCUUCGGGUUGUAAACUCCUUUCGCCAGGGACGAAGCGUUUUGUGACGGUACCUGGAGAAGAAGCACCGGCUAACUACGUG
rnacentral:rRNA from 1 species